UGAGAUGUUGGGUUAAGUCCCGCACGAGCGCAACCCUUGUCUUAUGUUGCCAGCACGUGAUGGUGGGGACUCGUAAGAGACUGCCGGGGUCAACUCGGAGGAAGGUGGGGACGACGUCAAGUCAUCAUGCCCCUUAUGUCCAGGGCUUCACACAUGCUACAAUGGCCAGUACAGAGGGCUGCGAGACCGUGAGGUGGAGCGAAUCCCUUAAAGCUGGUCUCAGUUCGGAUCGGGGUCUGCAACUCGACCCCGUGAAGUCGGAGUCGCUAGUAAUCGCAGAUCAGCAACGCUGCGGUGAAUACGUUCCCGGGCCUU
rnacentral:rRNA from 1 species